AUUGAACGCUGGCGGCAGGCCUAACACAUGCAAGUCGAACGAGGGGGGGAGGGGAGAGAAAUGUCUGGGAAAUUGCUCGAUGGAGGGGGAUAACUACUGGAAACGGUAGCUAAUACCGCAUACCAGCGGCUGAGCGCAGAUGGGAUUAGCUAGUAGGUGGGGUAACGGCUAACCUAGGCAACGAUCCCUAGCUGGUCUGAGAGGAUGACCAGCCACACUGGAACUGAGACACGGUCCAGACUCCUACGGGAGGCAGCAGUGGGGAAUAUUGCACAAUGGGCGCAAGCCUGAUGCAGCCAUGCCGCGUGUAUGAAGAAGGCCUUCGGGUUGUAAAAUACUUUCAGCGAGGAAGCGUUACUCGCAGAAGAAGCACCGGCUAACUCCGUGCCAGCAGCCGCGGUAAUUC
rnacentral:rRNA from 1 species